CGGCGCCCCGGGUGCGGGGGGCUCGGCCACCCCGGGGGCGCAGCGUCUGUGCCGCCUCUCCGUGUGGAUCUGGCAGUCGGUCAUCCACCUGCUGCAGAUGGGGCAGGUGUGGAGCUCUAAGCAAAAGACAUGAGAGGCCUCAGCUGAAAUGAGGUGGUUUUGAGGUCAUCCGAUUUCUAGACGUGUGCGGUCACCUGGUCCUGAAAGUCCUCCACACAGAAUGGUUUGCAAUUUUUUUUGGUGAUGGCAUGUUCAGAAUCUUGGAUCCCUAAGUUGAAUAUUGGAAAUAUGUAGGAGCCUUGGAAAUUAUGUUGUUUUCAUAUUUUAAUGUUUUGGUAGGUGAAUCAGUAGAUUUAAUAAAUGUAUGUAAAAGAACUCUGUACUUGUAAGCUGACAGGUGUGUCUGAGGCGUGUCACCUGCGUGCUACGUUCUGGAGACAGUCUGCUUCCGAGGUUCUCUGUGGACCCCUCGUGGUCUGAGCAGUGGGCUUCCUCCUGUCAUGUUUUGGUUGGCUGGGUUUCCUUUCUGCCCACCUUGCAAUGUGAGCUCCUUAGAUCACAGGCAUCAGUGAUCAGGGGUUAAGAUGAGAAGAGAAAACAUCGUAACAAUCUUAAAUGCAGUAAUUACAGAAUUUCCACCUGGAAAUCACCUCACAAGAUCUGUAUUAGAAAUACGCAGACUCUUUUAUUUUUAAACAAAUGUAUGUAUGGCCAAAUGCUGCCAGUUCUUAAAAUUAGACAGUAUUGUAGGUCAGAGGUGCUCACACUGAGGGAGUAAGGCCGUUCACUUUCACCUCCUUCCUGUGUUCCGGAACUCUCGUCAGGUGGGUGAGCUAGUGGGAAGGGGCCGGUGGUCUGUGUAAAGGGAGAAACCCCGAGAAAAGGCCUCCAUUUCCUGAAAGGAUUAAUUUCCCUAAACAACUACAAUAGCAACAGAUUUGACUCCCUUCCAAGAAUGGGCUGCUGUCAUGUAGAAUGUGGGUGAGGGGGUGUUCAACCACCGACAGAUGGAUGCGUGGUACCGAGCGCAGAUUACAGUGGCUGUAGUCGUUGGUGGUUGGCUGUCUUUUGCCUGCCUCCCCUGCACCUGCUGGAAUUCAGAGACCUGAGGAUGCUUACUUACUUCAGUAACUAACUCCAGAGCUUAGUUUUUCAGUGGUCAGUAGGCAUGCUCUCCACCCUAACUGGGGAGUAGUGACUGUCAAGACCACAGUUAGAACAACUUGGAAGGAUGAAGAAAAUGCAGGAAAGUGGGGAGCCUGAGUUCUAUUAUUGGUGAGUUGUCCAUUGUUCCUGGAGUCCUUACAUGCCUGUAGCCACAGUAACCCUCAGAUUUCUGUUAGAAGAGCUUCAGAAACUGAACUGACUGUACUACUGCCACUGGCUCCCUUUUAAUUAAAAUUUAAUUACGUCAUUUCCCCCCUUGCCUCCCCUCCCCCUGCUAGCCCUCUCCUCCCUUUUCAGUGGGCUGAAUUAGAUGAUACUUAUUUAAUAGAAAGCACACUGAAAACACUCGGUAGACUUUUGUUUUAAUUGUUACAUACCAAUCUCCACACGUGUUGUCUAUUUAGCUGCUUUCUGAUUACAAUUGGCUUUUAAAAACUCUCUUUCUGUGGUAUUUCUGUCAAUAGAGGUUUCCUUUUAGCCAGUUCUAGCCACAGUAUUGAUUGGGCCUGGGUAUCUGAUACAUCCAGAAGGAAUUAGCCAGCCAGGAAAAAACUUUAUUCCCUCCAGAAUAAAUAUUUUAAAGACCUUCUUAGAUUCUGAAAACCGUGAGUGCAAAUGAAGGAGACUUAAAGAGAAAACUUUAGGAUUCUGAUGGUACAAAGUGAGGGUAGGCUGCACUUGGAACUCCACAGAGCAGGUCCAAGGGAACAGAGUGCAUCUCCUAGCAGGGAAGAGGAUGCUGGGAUGUCUUGGACAGGAGACAUUCCCUGUUGUCAUGGGAAGCUUUCAUGAACAUGCAUGGUAUUUAAGAGUAGUCAGGCCAGUGUUUGGAAAUACUAAUGUAUCGCCUAAUGGUGAGUUUGAAUUAUUCUGGAAUGUUCUAAAUAUGUUUGUGACUUAAUGGUUAAUUUAAUUUCAAAUAAAUAUUUUAAAUAUUAAAGAAAAUGCAUUAUCAAUAAAACUUUUGUUUCUGUUGUAUAACUUUAUAAAAUAAUAUAGAGUAUCAUGUAUAGUGGAAAACUGUGGGCAUGGGUAUGAUCAUAAUGGCCACCUCCCAGAAACUUCUGGAUAAAACAUUAAGACUAUACUCAAUUUUGUCUUACUUGUAGUAUUGAUUAGAGAGCAUUUUAGUGUCUCUCAUAGGAAGUCUGUCCCUUCCUGGGUGACUGUGCUUCACGGCCUUGGUACAUCAUACUCCAAAAAGUAGCAGGUCUGUGAGCAUUACAUAGACUAACAGCAGGACCCAGAGAAGGAGAGUGGAGCAGCGGCCUGCUGUGGUGGGGACGUUGUAGAGAAACGCCAGCGGAAAUCUGCUGGAAGCUGGGACGCCUUCAUCAGCACAGCCACAAAAGCCGGACAUAGCUGUGCCGUGUCUGCACAGGCAGGGACAGUGAUGUGUGGGGUCCUUGUCACUCGCUCUGACUUUGAUCUCCCUCCCCCCCAGUGAUUCUCUGCUUCCAAAGGCUUGAAGGCUGUCCACUGCCUCUUCACACAGAGACCUGCAGCCACAAGAUGGAAGCCACUCCUAGAGCGAGGGAGUAGAUCCUGCAAAGGCCACUCCCUCCUGAGAACAAGUGGAGAAUGUGGAGCCUCAGGCACAGGGCAUGGUGGUGUCCUCUGCGGAUGGAUGUUUAUUUCAUAAGAGGUUGAGUAGCAAUGCCCUUUAACAUGAGCACACUUGCCCCCUAAAUUAUUAGAAAGGUCUUCUCAAGUGUGACCUUUUAUUAUGUCAGGAUAUUAGGCUCUUGGUGUCAGCUAGUUGUUAAAUUCUGUAAUAGUGACGAGAGCUUUGAGACUUGGUUGUGACUUGUAAGUCUGAAGCAGAUUUUCAGGAAAACUGCCGACACUCCCAGUUGACUCGUUUGCAUCCCUUUCGGCUUUUCCGGAGUGUGGUCCUUUCUGAGUUUGUCAGCUGGGAGGAGAUGCCCCCUGCUCUCCGUUUCCCCUCGAUGACUGACUCUGGCUUGCACCAUUCGAAACCUAAUUUGUCAGAAAGUCCAUGUGAACAGCCUGCCUUUCUCCUUGGUGCAAUCUCGAGUCACCUCCUUGUUCUGUCAGUUGCUGGGAGUUUCUUGUACGGUACAGCUUAACUCUGAAGGUGAAGUCAGAAGACCUGAAGAAACAUUGCCCUUGUGUUUAAGUAGUCAGAAGGGAAUCGCCAGACUGACACCAGCAGAGCAUCCUGGGUGGCCUGCUGUUAACUGAGUUGAAUUUGACUGUUAUUUAAAAACUGAAUGUAUAGACAUAAAGUAAUCACAAAAGGUGUAUUGUUCAUGUAAGGCCUGUCACCUGAGGCGUUUCUGUCUGUGUGGUCUAGAGGUGAUGACCCAUUCUGCUGUAAAGGAUCCAGGUCAGUUAAUCUGACUGAAAGAUAGAUAACAUUUACUGAGCUUCUGAGGCCUUUUCAUGUCUCCUUUGAAAGUUUGCUACUUUGUACUUUCAUGGUUUCACAUCCACAGGAAGAGGAUCCUGGAAGAAGAGUGUGACUCAACUACAUCCUUUCUUUGGUGACAGUAAAAACAGCAUACAAGGGGUUUAAGAGUCUUUUGGAGUUCUCCUGCAUCUGUCCUGUUCAUUCUUCCUCUGCAAUUCCAUCAUGGUUCCUUCUAGCACUUCAAGAUGGUGCUGUUUGGCUCUCAAACCCUGAGUCCACAUAAAAGUAUCAGCACACAGUUCAACCUUCUCUCCCAUCGUCAGGUUGCAUUCUGCUGGGAACAGGAGCUUCGUGAUUCCUUUCCUGGUGUAUCUCCAUCUUCCUUCCUGAAGAGAAGCAGCUCUUCCAGACACAGGCACCUUGGCUGUCUAAGGGAUGACCUGUAACAAGUUCACAGCACUGUAUUCUCAUUGUGCUGGUCACUGCUGUUGUGGUUUCCAAGGAAGACAACUCCAACUGCCAUGCUAUGAAGCUGGAAGGAGCCAAGCCUACCUCAGGCAUGGGAAGACCCAAAGCUGACUUACGAGCAUGGAAACUUGCUAGAACCUGAAGAGAGCUGGAAGAUACUCCAGUGUUUCCUUUGGUGACUUAAAAACAAACAAGCAAUACACACACACACACACACAC